rnacentral:rRNA from 1 species
UACGUAGGGGCAAGCGUUGUCCGGAAUCAUUGGGCGUAAAGAGCGUGUAGGCGGCCAGAAAAGUCCGCUGUGAAAACUCGAGGCUCAACUUCGAGCUGUCGGUGGAAACUUUCUGGCUAGAGUCCGGAAGAGGAGAAUGGAAUUCCUGGUGUAGCGGUGAAAUGCGCAGAUAUCAGGAAGAACACCCGUGGCGAAGGCGGUUCUCUGGGACGGUACUGACGCUGGAGACGCGAAAGCGUGGGGAGCGAACAGG